rnacentral:rRNA from 1 species
AGUGAACGCUGGCGGUAGGCCUAACACAUGCAAGUCGAACGGCAGCACAGUAAGAGCUUGCUCUUACGGGUGGCGAGUGGCGGACGGGUGAGGAAUACAUCGGAAUCUACUUUUUCGUGGGGGAUAACGUAGGGAAACUUACGCUAAUACCGCAUACGACCUACGGGUGAAAGCAGGGGAUCUUCGGACCUUGCGCGAUUGAAUGAGCUGAUGUCGGAUUAGCUAGUUGGCGGGGUAAAGGCCCACCAAGGCGACGAUCCGUAGCUGGUCUGAGAGGAUGAUCAGCCACACUGGAACUUAGACACGGUCCAGACUCCUACGGGAGGCAGCAGUGGGGAAUAUUGGACAAUGGGCGCAAGCCUGAUCCAGCCAUACCGCGUGGGUGAAGAAGGCCUUCGGGUUGUAAAGCCCUUUUGUUGGGAAAGAAAAGCAGCAGGUUAAUACCCCGCUGUUCUGACGGUACCCAAAGAAUAAGCACCGGCUAACUUCGUG